UCGUCUAUAUACGUAUAGCAUAUCAAUAAGCGGAGGAAAAGAAACUAACUAGGAUUCCCUCAGUAACGGCGAGUGAAGCGGGAAGAGCUCAAAUUUGAAAUCUUCAAGGUUCUACCUUGACGAAUUGUAGUUUAAAGAAGUGUUUUCUGUUGGAGUUUUGGUAAAAGUUCUUUGGAAUAGGACAUCAUAGAGGGUGAGAAUCCCGUAUUUGACCAUUAUUUCCAACUUUGUGAUACACUUUCAAAGAGUCGGAUUGUUUGGGAAUGCAGUCCAAAAUGGGUGGUAAAUUUCAUCUAAAGCUAAAUACUGGCGAGAGACCGAUAGCGAACAAGUACCGUGAGGGAAAGAUGAAAAGAACUUUGAAAAGAGAGUUAAACAGUACGUGAAAUUGUCAAAAGGGAAGCGUUUGACACCAGUGUUGUUUUCUCGAAAAUCAAUUAAAAAUGGCUGGGAUUUUGUGUUGUAUUGACUUUAUCAGCUUUCUGCACUUUUUUCCUUAUCUUUUUUAAUGCACUUUUCGUUUAACAAGUCAACAUCAAUUUCUUUUGUUGUAAAAGGGUCAUUGGAAGGUGGCUUUCUUUUCGGAGAAAGUGUUUAUAGCCUUUGACUUCUGCAAUCGGAGAGAUUGAGGUCUGCAGCGUAGAUCCUUCGGGGUUAGAUACAUUUGUGCUAAGUUAUAGCCUUUUAUAGACAACUUGUUGUACUAUGAUUAGUCAUUGUAGCUUACUCGCUUAUGUAAUUUUACCUACGCUUAGGAUGUUGACGAUCAGCUGAGCGCG
rnacentral:rRNA from 1 species